rnacentral:tRNA from 1 species
UCCCAUAUAGUAUAGUGGUUAGUAUACUCCGCUUUCAUGUUUCCAACGACAUCCGGAGAGUCCCGAGUUCGAACCUCGGUGUGGGAA